GGAAUAAGCCUGGAGAGGUAAAAGAGAAACUAUUCUACAUGUUUUUUGUGUCUUUUUUUUUUUUUUUUCCCAAAGCGCUUAUAACUGAAUGAGCCCACACUGCUUUGCACUGACUUUUUGUGUGUGUUUUGUUUUGUUUUUUUGGCUGUGGUUGGACAUUUUCGAGUUUCAGUCCAAAGUUAUAGAUUUAUGAUCUAACGUGUACGUCACUUUUUGUAUCUCCUUGACCUUCAGUGUUUUUAGAGGCUUUUAUUUUGGCAAGCAGUCACUUUGAGCCGCUUUCUGAAAAAAGAAAAAAACUAGAAAGAAAUAGAAAUCUUUUCAAUUGCUGUAAAAUAACACACACAAAGUGGACUUAAUCAGCAAAGCCUUUAAUAAAGUCAGUUUAAAGAAAGGUUACACUGUUGCCUCCAUUAACAUCCAUAGGUUGUUAAAGCCAACCCAACAAAAUCCGGAAGAUUACAUCAAAUUAACAUCGUAAAUUUACAAAAAUAACAAAAAGUGUGCCCGUUGUCCAACUGCAGGCUUUAAAAUUUUCACAAAUGGCUGCAUCACAUCACCACUGCUCCUUCUGACAGCCACAAAUCACCGCUCUCGAGCCAGCUCAGCUUCACUUUACUUUUUAUUGCCCUAAUGGAGGAACUGUUUACAGCAUUCUUUACAGGAGAGACGCCUCACUGGGGUGUGCAGCGGCAGCUCAACCGCUGUGAAUCACUGUUAUCGCCUCCGAUUUUCAAACAUGUUUGACAAAAAGCUGAUGGGAAUGAUCUGUUUUAUCGAAUGUCUGUGUGUAAAUUUAAACUCUGCUUAGCAGAAAUGGGGAAAAAGGCUGCAUAUCCAACACAACCACUCAUUUUUCUAUAAACUCUCCUUUCCUUAUCUGGCAGCCUUGUGUUGCCACAGGCAGUAGCUACAGCGCAGGCCGGAGGCUGUGGUCUGCAAGUGAGUAGUGGGGCUGGAGGACACCAGGCGGUGGUCUGCGCUGAUGUAAAAAAAAAAGGGCCCUGUACAGGAAAAGUGGUGGUUAGAGAGUUGUCAUUAGGUAGUGUGCUAUGCCAUGACGUCAGGGAAGACAGAAGACGCGGGUGGGAUAGGCGCAAGAAUCCGUGGGCGAGGUGCAAGUGGAAGUGUUUCUGCAUCUUCGCUGGCUCAUUAACGUCUUGUCUUCAUGUUUUCCAGGUGGCAGGCAGAGGGGAGAGCAAAUCAGUUGCUAAUGGUAUGGGACACUAAUGUCUUGAAGGAGCCACUAAAGCUGGGGACCACGACAAUCCAAGACUCUUCUUUGACUUUUCCUUAAGAACCAAAUACAACACCCCCAGGAGGGACCCCCAAGAGCACGCAGGGACAGGACAGACACUGUCUGAGCACUGUACCGAAACAGCAUCAGCAUAUUGUUAUAGGCUUACCACGUAUAGUGCCUUUGCACAAUAAUUUCUGCUUUCUAAAAAAAAAAAGUAUGAUAACAACAAAAUGCUGUGAAAUUUGGACAUUUUAAAUUACUACUUUAUAAAAUCCUGCCAGGAAAACAAAAAAACUAAUAGAAUUAAGAUUUAUGUCUCGUACUCCGUGCUGAGUGGAUGAGUUUAAAAGUUUCCACAUUCCAAAGAGAUGGGUGAUAUCACUUCUCUCCCUCAGAAUAUUUUCCAUCUCUCUCUUUUUUUAUUUAUAUUUAAAGCAAAAGCUUCACACAAUGCUAUAUUAUUCAACGUUCACCUGUUCAGGAUAGAAAUAUAAGCACUUCUAGAGUUUAGCUGAUUUCACUUUUAUUGUCUUACCAAUAGUGCAGCAAUGGUCUGAGUAAUAUAUGCUAGCACAUGUGAUGUUUUGACUAUGACCUAUCAUACAGUAUCAUAUAUAACAUCUGUAUACUCAUAACAAAAGGUAUUUUUUGCUUUUUUUUUAUUCAUUCACCAACAGGCAGUUAAUUUUGAAGGUGAUGGGAGUGUUGGAUAUUCAGAAGGCCAUUUUGACAUUUAUUAUCCUUUCAUGUCAUUUCUUUUUUAAUUUAUGUUUUAAUGUUUUUUUUUUAGUUCUUUCUAGCUUUCGAACACUUUAAAACAUCUUCAGACAUUCCCCUUAAAGCAGUUGCACGUGGUGCCUUUGCUGCCUUAAAGUUUUAUAAUGUAGGACAUGUUUUUUUUUAAUCUGCCUUUAACUUCUUUUUUGCCUCUAUGCACACUCUUAUGCUCAGCAAUACUUUACAUAUUGAGGGCAUACAAAGUAAAAUCAGGGUGCCUAAACAUAUAGCAAGGUCAUAGUAACAAGCAUAUUUACCACUAUGUAAAACUUCUGGCCUUAUGAUUGCAAUGACAGCAUUUAGGACAGCCGAGGUACAGUACUUUAAAGCCUCCUAGCAGCUCAGCAUGAUUUUGAGACUUGUGAUUUUUCACGUUUUCGCGCAGCACAAGCUUAUAAGAAUAUGAACUGUUUGUCAGGGCAUUAAAUUGAUCGAUGUUACUGCUCAACAAUCUGACAAUCACAUUCCAUGGCUUCUGAAAAGAGCAGGGGAGCUGGACCAAAAUAUUUUUAAGCAUGAUAAAAUGUGACGUUUUUGUAUUUUUUUUUAAUGUAAUGGUUUCAUAAUGUUGUGUUUUGUUUUGUUUUCUACAGCCUUGUGUCCAUUUUUAAAAUUUCCAUGUUUAACCAGACACUUGUUUCUUGUGUGGCGCUAAGCCUAUGCAGAAUACACGAUCUGUAGUCUCUCUCCAAAUGUCAUACAAGCAGGCAUUUUCCAAGCGGAGGAAUGUGUUGAACAUUGUAACCUUGACUCAACAACAGCAAUAAAUACAUUGAGGUAUUCCACAUUGUUGAGUUUCCUUUCACAACUUCACUGAAUACAAUCACCAGAUGCUUCUCUAUAGUAGUACCAGGCUGGACUGCAGUUUCCCUUCACAACUGCCUUCGUUUCUUGUAUUCUGA
ensembl:lncRNA